GGUUUGCAAAAUUCUUCUUUUGUGGGAGGUUUCUUGGAGGGAGGGUCUGUGCUCGCCUCUACCCCAUCCCGGGGCACCCAGUUAAGAACCAGGUUUUAUUUUGGACAAGAUAUUUCAAUUUCAAGAAGCUGGGGGGAAACAAUGCAUAACUGAGAUCACAAGAAAAAAGAAUAAAUCUCAAGGGGACAAAAACAAAGAGAACCUAAACCCAGACAAGCUGCUCUAUGGCUGCCCUGAGGUGGACGGUGUAGAAACAGAAGGACAUAUAAAUUUGCAGCUACCCAAGAGUCAGAGAUGAGCCCCAGGACCCGUGGGAACUGGGGAGCUGAAACCAAGACAUACCUACUACUGUGACGGGAUUUUUUGUGUCCCUCCCAAAUUCUUAGGUGGACUCCAAACCCUCCAGGUGUGGUAUAAAGAUGAGGGGUUUGGGGGAGGCCAUUGGGUCCUGGGGGUUCUGCAUCGUGAAUGGAUCAGUGCUCUUCAGAAAGAAGCCAGAGAGCUCUGCCUGGCCUCUUCCACAAUUUGAAGGCACAGGAGGUGCCAUCAAAGAACCAGGAAGCAGAACUUCGCCCACACCUGGAUCUUGGACUUCCAGCCUCCAGAAAUGUGAGAAAUAAAUGUUUGUAAAAAUUGUGCCCUAUAUGCGUGAUAAGAAUUGUAAUGCUUUCCACUGCUGUCGUGUAGUUAAAAAAGAAAAAAGAAAGAAAGAAAUGUUUGUGUUUAAAGCCCCCCAGUCUAUGGUAUUUUACUACAGCAGCCUGAAUGGACCAAGACAUCUAUUGCACUCUGAACCUUACCAAAUAUACUCUAUACACAUGUUUUAGGAGAUUUUGUGUAAGAAGAGCAGAAACCCAAAGAGAAAAUCCAUAAUAACAACACUCACAUUUUAAUCCAUAAUAACAACACUGCCCACAUUUUAGUCACUUUCUUUCUCUAUUUUUUUUCUGAUGCUGUCUAUUAAACAGAUGAGAUCGAUUUUGUGUCAUUUUUUUUCAUAACUUAAACUUUUAAAUGUAGACACUUCCUAUGUCAUCACAAAGGCUUAAUAUUUAUUUCUGACAUUCAUUUUCCCUCUAUUCCCUUUAGACACCAAGACAACAGACUGAUGGGACAUUGACUCUUGGACAGAGAAAAACAAACCUGGACUUGGAGGUAAGGCCAUCCCUCCUAUCCAAGGAGGAGUCAACC
rnacentral:lncRNA from 1 species